CCUAACCCGCUAACCUGUUAGGGUUAGGGUUACCCUAACCCUAACAGGUUAGCGGGUUAGGGUAACCCUAACCUGUUAGGGUUAGGGUUACCCUAACCCUAACCCUAACCCGCCCUCACCCACGCAUUAGACUGUCAGCCCCUCGAGCUACAGUCACAAUAGUUUAAUGUUUGAUUCUGUUCACUCAGUCUUCAAUAGGUCAAAUCAAUACUAUCCUCGAAAACCUCACCUUGUUUUCAUUCAUUAAUUGUUAAAUUAGUAUUGAAUACUUUAACUCCUCAUCCCUCUCACUGUCUUCACCGUGCCCUAAGGGGUAUGGUCACUGUGCCCUAAGGGGUAUGGUCACUGGGCCCUAAGGGGUAUGGUCACCGUGCCCUAAGGGGUAUGGUCACUGUGCCCUAAGGGGUAUGGUCACUGUGCCCUAAGGGGCCCUAAGGGGUAUGGUCACCGGGCCCUAAGGGGUAUGGUCACUGUGCCCUAAGGGGUAUGGUCACUGUGCCCUAAGGGGCCCUAAGGGGUAUGGUCACCGUGCCCUAAGGGGCCCUAAGGGGUAUGGUCACUGUGCCCUAAGGGGUAUGGUCACUGUGCCCUAAGGGGCCCUAAGGGGUAUGGUCACCGGGCCCUAAGGGGUUUGGUCACCGUGCCCUAAGGGGUAUGGGGACCCUAAGGGGUAUGGUCACUGUGCCCUAAGGGGUAUGGUCACUGUGCCCUAAGGGGUAUGGUCACUGUGCCCUAAGGGGCCCUAAGGGGUAUGGUCACUGUGCCCUAAGGGGCCCUAAGGGGUAUGGUCACCGUGCCCUAAGGGGCCCUAAGGGGUAUGGUCACCGUGCCCUAAGGGGCCCUAAGGGGUAUGGUCACCGUGCCCUAAGGGGUGGUGGUCACCGUGCCCUAAGGGGCCCUAAGGGGUAUGGUCACCGCGCCCUAAGGGGCCCUAAGGGGUACGGUCACCGCGCCCUAAGGGGCCCUAAGGGGUAUGGUCACCGUGCCCUAAGGGGCCCUAAGGGGUAUGGUCACCGUGCCCUAAGGGGUAUGGUCAGCGUGCCCUAAGGGGUAUGGUCACCGUGCCCUAAGGGGCCCUAAGGGGUAUGGUCACCGUGCCAUAAGGGGUAUGGUGGUCACCGUGCCCUAAGGGGUAUGGUGGUCACCGUGCCCUAAGGGGUACGGUCACCGUGCCCUAAGGGGCCCUAAGGGGUAUGGUGGUCACCGUGCCCUAAGGGGCCCUAAGGGGCCCGGUCACCGCGCCCUAAGGGGCCCUAAGGGGCCCUAAGGGGUAUGACCACCGUCACCGUGGUGAAGACAGUUGGAGCGUUGUAAUGGGCCAGGGUUCCUCUGAGGGUCUCUCACUGCGACUAAACGGUUCCUCCUGUCCUCCACCUCGGGGGUCCAGCUGCAUGCCCCCCUCCCCAGAGGACGGACGCCCCCCCUCUGAGCCUAAGGGGGGCCGACAGGACGGACCGCCCCCCCCCACGGCCCACAGCCAGCCCCCUCAGCGGGCGGGACCGGACGCCGGCAAGGUCCCCAAGUGGCUGAAGCUCCCAGGUACAGACUAGGGGACCCCCGCCUCCUCUAGGAGACAGACUAGGGGACACCCGCCUCCUCUAGGAGACAGACUAGUGGACACCCGCCUCCUCUAGGAGACAGACUAGUGGACACUCCUCUCCUCUAGGAGACAGACUAGUAGACACUCCUUUCCUCUAGGAGACACCCUAGUGGUAUUUGUAAAUCCUCCUGUCAGACGUAUCCCUUGGCCAAAGAGAGAUCCCAUACUGGAGUGAUCCAAACUCAGUGUGUGUGUGUGUGUGUGUGUGUGUGUGUGUGUGUGUGUGUGUGUGUGUGUGUGUGUGUGUGUGUGUGUGUGUGUGUGUGUGUGUGUGUAAGACAGAAGUGUGACCUUGCCUUUGUGAGUGCGUGUGAUGAACAGAUAAGUCCUCAGGAUGCUGUGUGGAGAGUGGAAUGUGACCUAUUUUAAAGGAUGUGUGUGGAAGAGGAUCACACAGACAGACGCAGAGUCAAAGUGAUUCUAUAUCGGUCCUCAUUUCAAUACCCACUCUAGUGUUGGAUGAUCAGAUGAGAUUUGCUUAAUUAAUCUCAAGUCUAUUAUGAUUUGGUAAGGAGAUAUUCCUUGCGGUUUUAUUCUAUUUAUCGGCUGUCAAAUCGUCAUCUUAUCUCCCGUUUUUAAAAGACUAUUUUGAAGUGAAGGUGUUUUUCUAUAUUAGUGUUAAGCAUGUUCUUUCUGAUCGACUGUAUUGUUUUUACAGGAAAGAAGUGAGUCUCCUGCUGGUCAACUAGAGACUGCAGUCUUCUCCAUCGCUGAAAUGAACCUCACCAUUUUAGCUUUACCGCCGUUAUGGCAAAGCACUCGAUUGAUCAUGUAACACGCCGGCAUUCAACAGUGAAACAAGAACAUGUAAGGACCAAUAAAUACUUGCAUACGUUUUCGCCUUGGCUGAUGUCCGUUUUGUGAGGUGUGUGAAAGGGCCUUCAGCGCCCUCUGCUGGAUUAUUAGUUUAAGCCCAUUUAAAUGAAUGGGUUAGUACUUUGCUGGACGUAGACUUCCGGUAAUAUUAGCCAUAGCUGGUAUUAAUUAAUUAUAGUAAUCAAUAAAAGAAUAACAAAGGCAGGGUUUCUGAUGUCUGCUAUGUCUUAAUUGCCAUUGAAAAUAUUGAGGACGAAUUGUGCCAUGGAAAUAAUGAUUUCUUCAUGUAUUAGUUGAAU
ensembl:lncRNA